AGAGAGAGAGAGAGAGAUUCUAUUAGAUAAUUCACCUGGCGUUUGAUAUGAUCUCAGAAAACACCAAAAAGAUAGAACAAACAAUAAUUGAAAACCAACCUAUACCAAAAAGGAGAGACAAAGAGAUAAAGGCAACGUGGUCGAAAGCAUCAAUCACCAUCAGAAUGCGUGUCUUGAGCUUCAUGUUGAGGAAUUAUGAUAAAGAACAUUAAUGAAACGUAGCUGUACC
rnacentral:lncRNA from 1 species